ensembl:misc_RNA Metazoa_SRP Metazoan signal recognition particle RNA
GCCGGGUGCGGUGGCUCACACCUGUAAUCCCAGCACUUUGGGAGGCCGAGGUGGGUGGAUCACCUGAGGUCAGGAGUUCGAGACCAGCCUGGCCAACAUGGUGAAACCCCAUCUCUA